rnacentral:rRNA from 1 species
AGUCGACGAACCUUCGGGUUAGUGGCGGACGGGUGAGUAACGCGUGGGAAUCUGCCCUCAGGAGGGGGAUAACGGUUGGAAACGACCGCUAAUACCCCAUAUGCCGAUAGGUGAAACGAAUUUCGCCUGAGGAUGAGCCCGCGUCUGAUUAGCUAGUUGGUAAGGUAAAGGCUUACCAAGGCUUCGAUCAGUAGCUGGUCUGAGAGGAUGAUCAGCCACACUGGGACUGAGACACGGCCCAGACUCCUACGGGAGGCAGCAGUGGGGAAUUUUCCGCAAUGGGCGAAAGCCUGACGGAGCAACGCCGCGUGAGGGACGAAGGCCUCUGGGCUGUAAACCUCUUUUCUCAAGGAAGAAGAUAUGACGGUACUUGAGGAAUAAGCCACGGCUAAUUCCGUGCCAGCAGCCGCGGUAAUACGGGAGUGGCAAGCGUUAUCCGGAAUUAUUGGGCGUAAAGCGUCCGCAGGCGGCCUUUCAAGUCUGCUGUUAAAGCGUGGAGCUUAACUCCAUUAUGGCAGUGGAAACUGAUAGGCUUGAGUAUGGUAGGGGCAGAGGGAAUUCCCGGUGUAGCGGUGAAAUGCGUAGAUAUCGGGAAGAACACCAGUGGCGAAGGCGCUCUGCUGGGCCAUUACUGACGCUCAUGGACGAAAGCCAGGGGAGCGAAAGGGAUUAGAUACCCCUGUAGUCCUGGCCGUAAACGAUGAACACUAGGUGUCGGGGGAAUCGACCCCUUCGGUGUCGUAGCUAACGCGUUAAGUGUUCCGCCUGGGGAGUACGCACGCAAGUGUGAAACUCAAAGGAAUUGACGGGGGCCCGCACAAGCGGUGGAGUAUGUGGUUUAAUUCGAUGCAACGCGAAGAACCUUACCAGGGUUUGACAUCCUGCGAACCUCUUAGAAAUUUGAGGGUGCCUUCGGGAAUGCAGUGACAGGUGGUGC